GUGGGGAAUAUUGGGCAAUGGGGGAAACCCUGACCCAGCAACGCCGCGUGAAGGAAGAAGGUUUUCGGAUCGUAAACUUCUAUCCUUGGUGAAGAUAAUGACGGUAGCCAAGAAGGAAGCCCCGGCUAACUACGUGCCAGCAGCCGCGGUAAUACGUAGGGGGCAAGCGUUGUCCGGAAUGAUUGGGCGUAAAGGGCGCGUAGGCGGCCUGGUAAGUCUGGAGUGAAAGUCCUGCUUUUAAGGUGGGAAUUGCUUUGGAUACUGUCGGGCUUGAGUGCAGGAGAGGUAAGCGGAAUUCCCGGUGUAGCGGUGAAAUGCGUAGAGAUCGGGAGGAACACCAGUGGCGAAGGCGGCUUACUGGACUGUAACUGACGCUGAGGCGCGAAAGUGUGGGGAGCAAACAGGAUUAGAAACCCGAGUAGUCC
rnacentral:rRNA from 1 species